UUAUCGUCCUGUGGGACCUUGGGGUUGCUUGUUGCAGCAGUUGGCUUCCACUGACUAAUACAGAGACAGCAAAUGACUGUGAGUCAGAGGCGACCCCAGGGAACCAGUGCUGUGCGUCUCACCAACUCUGGGCACUAAUUACUUGGGAACAUUUUUAGAUUCUCAGAACCUACGCGGUGACUUCAGCCAUCCAGAAUAGUCAUUUUGAAAACAAACAAAAAUCCAUCUGAAAGUCACCUUGAUGAGAACAGGAGGCUGGCAGGACUUCCUAGCCAUCAGAAGGACCUUAAUGUGGCCAAGAUUUGCAGUUCUGUGUGACUCCUUGGACACCCUGCAUGCGCUUUUCAUCGAGUCAAGAAUCAUCUGACUUCCCACCCUGGCCCCAGCCUCUCUCUCCUCAGCCCCAGCAACUCUAUCUGCAGAGCUGUACCCUGCAUCUACUUGGAAAUGCAUUUUUGCCUCCAAAACACACAGAAGCUGUUGAUGUGUGCCUUGGAGUUAGGCGGGGGAAACUCCCCCAGAGAGCAGGGCACAUCAACCUAAAAAGCAAGGAAUGCAGACUCUGGGGUGACAUUCUUGCUCUUAACCAUGCCAGCCUGGCGCUCCACGGUGUUCACAUUCCUACAAUUAAACUGCCAAGUUCUCAAUCACCUGCAGCUGCUGCCAACUGCUGGCUGCUGAUAGCCAAAGUGGCAGCCGCCCGGGCGUCAGCAGUCCUGUUUUGCCACCUCCUCUGGACUGGCUUCACUGCUCUCCCAGCCUCCUCACGAUAGUCGGGCACUCAUUUCACUUUUCCGGGGGCUAUGGAGAGAGACACCUGGGCAGGUGCCGUGGGGCUGGCACGAAGAGGCUCCCUACAGGACCCACAGCUUUCCCUGUGCUGUGCUAUUUUAGUGCUUCAAAUACCACCUCCUCCUAGUGGGAUGGCAAUUCUCAUUCCCAAGGAGAGCAAACAGCCAGGAGAGUGGAGAGAAAGUGCUGAGCACACAUUCCCCGCCAGCCAUCCAGGAUCUCAGAGAACCUGCACCUCACCCAGGAAGAUGUAAAGUUAUGCAGGCAGGUUACGUUUCUGGCUCAUGAUAUCAACGACUUAGAUCUCACAGUGUCUAGAGAUUGACCAGGAUGUUCUGUUUGAACCACCAACUGCCUGUGUCACCUCCCUGCUCCCCACAGCCAGCUGGCUUAAUUCCAGGGUCUUUGACACGGCUGAUGAGCCCUUCCCUGCUUGGUUCCUUGUCUCUCUCAUGUGUCCCCACACCUGCCAGCUCUAAAUGUGGGUGAUUCUUCAUCCACACCACAACGUGUCUAGCUCCUCUCUGCGGUUAUGCCCCCACCUGAGAGGCCUCUCUCCCUCAAGCUGCCCAGCAAUUCCUCCUGCUCAUUUCUCCAACUUGAUGACUACUUCUAGAAGCCUUCUUCACCCCCCUGCUUUCCCCAGGGCAAGAAGAGGGUGAAGCCAGCCAGGCACCUUCCAUGCACAAACCUCAGGCUGGUGCCUCCUGAAAGAGUCUCUAAGCACCUCUCCUGUCCCCAGGGCCUGUCUCUUGGAAUGGCCCCCUCUUCACAUAAUGCCUCCCGAUGGCUGUGCUCUGUGUCACAGAUGAUGAGAGAUGAUUCAUUAGUGGAUUCCCAGCAGCCCUCCAAAAAGCUGAUUGUGACACCCACAAGGUGAAACCUCAUUCAGAGAUGUCAAGUUUUCGUCAGGCACUGGGCUGUGUGCUGGGAUCCAGCGAGGCACAGUCUGUCCUUAAGAAACAUCUCAGAACUUGGUUACGUGCCCGCCAAUCUUCUACUCGGAACACACAUUUCCCGACCUCGAGGUGGACUACCCAUGCAGCUGGAUGAAGGAUGGAAUCAGGAUCUCAUCCCAGGGGUUCUGAUUCUGAACACCUAUGGCGAGGCCCAGAUGUUCCACGAGCAGAGGCAGAGGGACUUUCUCCUACUUCGUGUGCACUUACCUAUUACACUUGGUGUGCACUUACCUAUUUGUUCACGGGUGCAUCAUGGAGCAACUACACUGUGUAAAUCUUUGUCAUCGGACUGUCAGGGACACAGAGGGAAAUUGGAGAGGCGUCAUGUUUUAUAGGCUCCUCUAAUUUAUGAAAUGCUCCCAAGUGCACUCUUCUUCUGGACUUGUAGAACCAAGAUGAUGUCCCUUUUAGAGGCACGACUGCUUUGCCCCACGUCACAGGUGAAGAAGGAAUAGGGACCGUAAUUGAGGCCACAUGGUGAGUGGGGAGUGGAGGCUGGGUGAGCCCAGCUGUCUUCUCACUUGAUGAGGAGCUUGCCUUGAAAUGGUGUCUUGAGUCUCAGGAAUUUCAUACCUGGGAAUUCCAGACCAGCAGGAAGAAAGGGAGGAAAAAGGAUCAUGGAAGUCAAUUCAUGCCAGUGAAAAUGUGAGAGCCAGCUCACCCUUGGUGGCUGCCCGAUGCUGUAAGACUGUUGCUCAAUGUGACCCUGGCAGAUGCAACCCCCUCACACCCAAGUGCCUGGACUGAGCUUGGAACCCUGUGAACAUGGUGCUUCCUGUCAUGGUUCUAGGACAACCAGGACUUCUCUACAAGGCAGCCAGCCCAGCCCCUGCCCAGGCCAGCUCCCUGGGCGCUGGGGACCAGGUUGUCAGUUAAGCAGAUCUGACAGCUGACAGCUUUCAGCAGCAGCCCAAGCAGCAGCGUAGCUUUCUUUUCUCUCUCUCUCUCUCUCUCUCUCUCUCUCUCUCUCUCUCUCUCUCUCUCUCCUCUUCCUUUCCCUGUUGUUGUUGCAAGACUGGAAGCCUGACUGGAAUUUAAAGCAAGUCUUUGGGACAAAAUGUAUGUCAGCACCAAGCCUGCUCCUUUGCUUCUUCCCACUCGGUGGGGUCCGAGAACAGCUGCACUGUGAGAGGAGGGGUCUGGAGCAGGGAGGCAGGGGAGUGGCUUCUGUCCCAGCCUGGGCUUGUGUUGGGAGCACAGGAGGGGCAGGGGCAGGAAACCCUUCAGGGAGCAUCUGUAGUCUGUCCUGGGUCUCAAGGCCCUUUUGCUCCUGGAGACUGGGACACCGGAGGCUCCCAGUCGGCUGCUAAUCCAUCCUCUCCACGUUUGCCCAUCAGUCCCUGCUUAAGGCAGAUAGAUAAAUAGAUGGAUAGUUAAGAAGGGGGACUCUAAACAGCUUAGAUAAACCAUCCUAUUUACAUCUCGGCUCCAAUAUCUAUCAAUCCAUUCUCUCAGUCUGCCGCUUCCGCCUGCCUCCAUGAACCAUUCAUCUGUCUUCUCUCUGCCCCACGCUUUCCCUUCCCACCCCCCAUUUUCCAGCAUCAAAAUAAACCCGCAGCUGAGACACAAUGAGGCAUGUCCUUCCACUCCAGUUAUCUUGGAAGGGUGGUGAUGGUGGCUGACACCAUGGCUCCCUGUGACUCUCCUCCUCAGGAAAUAUGCAAAUGUCCUUUUGAAAGCUCAGGGGACAAACACCAAGUGUCAGAUCUGCUGGGCUAGGCCUGCAUUCACAGUUUUGCAAAUAGAGCAAGAAGCUCCCUAAUCCAGGCUCUCCUGGGAUAGGCGAGGUGGGAGACCCACAGUGAGCUUGGGGAGGAGAAUCCAUUUGAGUUAAUAAGGGGAGCAAGGAAUCGAAUAUGUGUACAGUUGUAUCAAUUUUUAGGUGAUUUGGGAUACCUGGAUGAAGUGAGGGACUAGGAGAAGAAAGAGGAAGAAAGUGGGAAUUUUCUAAAUUUCACAAUUAGCGCUAUUAACAUUCAAACGGUUCAUUUCUUUAGAUUCUCUGAACUCCAAAUUUCACUGCUAACAACAUAAGGGGCUAGUUUGAAUGAUUACAUUCCCAGUAGAAGCAAUGAAAAUUCAUGAUAUUAAUUGUAUAUGAAAAUAUCAACAAAGACAGAGAGGGGGAAAAAAAGACCACUGGCCUCAUUAAUGAGGCAUGCUCUGCAUGCUAGACACACACGGCUAGGACAACUUGCCCUCUCCUUGGGGCCACCAGGCCUCAGAUUUUGCUGGGUCCAGAAAAUGCAAUAAUUCUCCCACUUUCCAUUGACCUCUGAAGAGCACUCUGUCCUGUUCCCACAAUUGUCCCAUGUCUGGAGUCCCAGCUGUUGGUGCUAGGCCUUUCCUGGUGCCUCCUCAUCCCUUCUGUUGACUUCUGGACAAACAGGAGCAAAAGAAGGCAGCACCUUUAUCUAGAGAUCCUUAAAUGGAAGAACUUGCAGAAAACUGUGGUUGGCCCUGUCUCCUGACCUACUACAGGUCAUAGAGGUGGGCCCAGGCUCACAGGGUGUGACUUGCCAUAGGAGGAGAGCAGCCUCUUUGGACCCUGUGAGUCCAGUUCCAGAGGAAAUACAACAAUGGGGUGCCCUGUGGCUGCACCCCUACUCCAGUGGACGCUGGGGCAGCUUUCAGAACUGUUGGGGCAUCUGCCUCCCGGCCAACGUGAAGACUGCUGCUGACACAUGCCCAGAGCACCCCUGGAACUGGGAUGCACUACACACAGGAGACUCAGGACCCAGAGGAGAGUAUGUCCAUCCUCCAAGGCCAGAGAGGCUGAAAAAGAAGCAAGGCCCCAUUGUAGCCAGGAAAAAUAUGGUACAGUUAAGAUUUCACUCACCCACCACUUCAGAGAUGUUGGCCGGCUGGCUGGCUUUGGGGCCAUGUGAUAUUUAUAAGUGUGCACUGGUGAGUAUCAGAAGAUGUCCGGAAGUGAUCACGAGCCCCGAAGGAGAAAAGGCCCCUUCCUCAAGCCAGCCAGGUUCAUGUGCCAAGGACGGUGCUUCUGAAAGGGGAGCAGCUGCUCUCCUGUGUGCUAUUUCAGGAUGCAAAUUUCUGAAUACACAUUGUUUUAAGAAAGGAGAUGGGAGACAGAAACCUGUGCCUUCUAUUUUCUGACUCUGACAUUCAGAAAAUCCAUGUUCUUGACUCACUUCACGUAGAGAGAUAAGGGAAUGACGCUAGCUAGCCGACUGCUGGGGACUGGUCCCUAGAGACCCCUCCCAGCGGUGAUCAUGAUGCAACAUUUAGGGAAGAAAAGCUCCCUCCUUACCUUGAGAUAAUCCCAAGGAAGAGAAAAGCAAACAGUAAGACGGAAAAGCAAGCCUCCCGCAUCCGACACUCAAGGCAAAGCAGGAGAAAUAUGAGGCUUUAAAUCAUGAGGUUCCUGAUGACAAGAGGUCCCUUGAGAAAGAAAGCCAAGAAUAAGUGGGCGGUGGUGCAUGAUAAAUGUUUGCGUGAAUAGACGGAUGAAUGAGCCAAUGAACCCAGAGGCUCUGAAUCGUGGCGGACUCACCUGACCCUUGGUACAUCUCUAGUGAAGGAAACUGCAGAAUCUAUGGAGAACCUUAAAAAGAAGUAGGGUGUUUAGUGUGGUGCCUUAGCAGUGGCCUCUGUGCAGGGGCAGCUAGAGCCAUGUGAAGACCAACUGUAUCACAUGGCCCAGGAAAACCUGUGGAAAGGUGAUUCCCAGGUGCUGUCUCAAACCCACGGAACAAAGUCCCCGGAGUGGAGCCCAGAAGCUGUUUGUGAUCAGCUCCCAGCUGCUUCUCACGUAGGCCAGCCAGACUUGGCCAAUCGCCAGAUUAGCAUUGAAAACUACUGUUCUGGAUGACGUCACCAAGACCUUUCCAACCUCAGGAUUCUAUGAUUGUAAAAAGAAGACACGGGGUGAAGAAAUCUAGGCUAGAGAGUUCAUUCAUUGCACAUUUAUUGAGCACAUACUGCACACCAACCACUGGGAAUGUAACAGGGGUUUUAUUUAUGUAUUUAUUUAUUUUUACGUGGUGCUGAGGAUUGAACCCAGUGCCUCACAUGUGUGAGGCAAGCACUUCACCACUGAGCUACAACCCCAGCCCAAACAGGGGGUUAAAAAGAAAGCACAGAGGAGUUGCUCUGGACCCUGGCUGAGGAGGAACAUCUUGAUCUCCAGAGAAAACCAAUAGAAAUUUAACCCACCAUUAACAAGACCAUCAGAGAGGGUGAGCAUUAAAGAAAAAACUUUGUUUUGCAUUUCACAGAAUAAAAGUAAGUCCUUAGAUGUGUAAUGUCUUACUUUAAUAAAGUUUGUUUUUAUACACAGCA